GCUCAGUUAGUAAAGCACAAGGCUCUUAACCUUAUGGACGUGGGUUCAAGCCCCAU
rnacentral:tRNA from 1 species